AGCGAACGCUGGCGGCAGGCUUAACACAUGCAAGUCGAGCGGGCAUCCUUGUGGUGUCCGCGGCAGACGGGUGAGUAACGCGUGGGAACGUGCCCUUCGGUUCGGAAUAACUCAGGGAAACUUGAGCUAAUACCGGAUACGUGCGAGAGCAGAAAGGUUUAUCUGCCGAAGGAUCGGCCCGCGUCUGAUUAGCUAGUUGGUGAGGUUACGGCUCACCAAGGCGACGAUCAGUAGCUGGUCUGAGAGGUUGAUCAGCCACACUGGGACUGAGACACGGCCCAGACUCCUACGGGAGGCAGCAGUGGGUAAUAUUGGACAAUGGGGGCAACCCUGAUCCAGCCAUGCCGCGUGAGUGAUGUCGGCCUUAGGGUUGUAAAGCGCUUUUCUCCGGGACGAUAAUGACGGUACCGGAUGAAUAAGCCCCGGCUAACUUCGUG
rnacentral:rRNA from 1 species